UAGGAAGAGAGUUGGGCAGGGAGUC
rnacentral:miRNA from 1 species